rnacentral:rRNA from 1 species
GUGGAUUAGAUACCCUGGUAGUCCACGCCCUAAACGAUGAAUGCUAGUCGUCGGGGUACUCGUUACUUCGGUGAUGCACUUAACAGAUUAAGCAUUCCGCCUGGGGAGUACGGUCGCAAGAUUAAAACUCAAAGGAAUAGACGGGGACCCGCACAAGUGGUGGAGCAUGUGGUUUAAUUCGAAGAUACACGAAGAACCUUACCUGGCCUUGACAUGGUAGGAACCCUUAAGAGAUUAGGGGGUGCUAGCUUGCUAGAACCUACACACAGGUGCUGCACGGCCGUCGCCAACU